UUACUUCAUUUCAUUUACGAUUUAUGUUUACAUUCCAUAGUAUCAUCCCUUUGUAUUGACAUGAUCAUUUAUUUUUUGGGUAGGGCAAUAAGAUGAAAUUGAGUAGAAUAUAAGUAGUAAGAAUUUCAUAACAAUUCUACCCUCAAACCUGGAAGUAUGUCCUCCUAAGUCUAGUGAGAUACAAAUUUGAUAACUUCUUAUGAAAGACUAAGGCUAAUAACUGGAUUGUGAUGACUUGAUUAGUGACUUAUGAUAUGAAUUGAAAUUGAUAUUUGUGAAUUGAGUUUGUGUUGAUAUGAUGGUGAUAUUAAGCCGGAAGCGGCUGCCCGAAGGGGCCAUCGUUAUUAAGCCGGAAGCGGCUGCCCGAAGGGGCCAUCAUUAUUAUGCCGGAAGCGGCCGUCCGAAGGGACUAUUGUGAUACUAGCCGGAAGUGGCUGUCCGAAGGGACCAUUCUGUUAACAUGUCGGAAGCGGCAUGUGUGUUGGAUUGCAUUAUUUACUUAAAGAUUGUUUUGAGACUUCGUGUGCACAUUUAUGUUUCUUCCAGCGAAGGCUGCAGCCCCAGAUUGUUUGGCAGGUUAAGUGUAUAGCUAGGAUGCUUGGACGUCAGCUGGGAUUGGCAAGUUCCACCUCAUUCUGGAGCUGUGCUGAGUCAUGUAUAGAUAUGUAUGAUUAUGGGUAUGUCAGGGCCCUGUCCUGACUCAUAAUGUUCAGUUUACUUCUUAGAGACUUCUGCAGACAGUGUCCUGUGGUAUAUUUGUCGAGAUGUCGACAAAGUGAUGUCAGUUGAGUCAUUUGUGGAUUUUAAAAGAGUAUGUAUUUUAGAUGAUUUCAAUUGGUUUAAAGUACUUAUUUGAUUGAA